rnacentral:tRNA from 1 species
GAGGGUAUGGCUCAGUGGUAGAGCACAUGCUUAGCAUGUGUGAGGGCCUGAGUUCAAUCCCCAGUAACUUCA